rnacentral:tRNA from 1 species
GCCCCCGUGGCUCAGUUGGUAGAGCAUGGUGUGUGCAACGCCAGCAUGGUGUGUGCAACGCCAGGGUUGUGGGUUCGAUUCCCACAGGGGGGC